GUGGUGCUAGCGUAGUGGUUAACGCAUCUGGCUACUUCGCAAGAAGGAGUAUUCAAUUGAAUCUCACAGCUCCAGGAGACAACGGUUCGAAUCCGUUGCACCGCG
rnacentral:tRNA from 1 species